GGCCUCGGUACCCUGACCGCGCGAAGGUAGCAUAAUCACUUGUUCUUUAAAUAAGGACUUGUAUCAACGGCAUCACGAGGGUUACACUGUCUCCUUUUUCCAAUCAGUGAAACUAAUCUCCCCGUGAAGAAGCGGGGAUAAUACUAUAAGACGAGAAGACCCCAUGGAGCUUUAAACCCAACUACACCCCUAUUCUCAACAACUACUUAACCAAUUGGACACUGUAUGCUUGGUUUUAGGUUGGGGCGACCACGGAGUAAAAAAUAACCUCCAUGAUGAACGGACUUAUUCCUUAUCUAAGAGCCACACCUCUAAGAAUUAGAAUACUAACAUAAAAUGAUCCUUUCUUGAUCAACGAACCAAGUUACCCUGGGGAUAACAGCGCAAUCCAUUUCAAGAGCCCCUAUCGACAAAUGGGUUUACGACCUCGAUGUUGGAUCAGGAUAUCCUGGUGGUGUAGCAGCUACCAAAGGUUCGUUUGUUCAACGAUUAAAAUCCU
rnacentral:rRNA from 1 species